UCCUCUUGCUGCGUUUGCUCCUGAAGCUCACUUUAUGGCAAACACAGUCUGAGCUGCCUUAUGAAUGGAAGACUCAGGAUGUGCUCGCUGCUGGCUGAGAAUGGAGCUGAGAACUCGGUACCAUUCAAGAACGGGUCCCCAUUACCUCUGGUCUCCUUCCCUGAUGACCAUCCGCUCUGAGUCGCCUGUCGCCUCUCUGGAGUCAGCUGGCAGUAUCAAAGCCAAGACCGUAUGAAGAAGGCCAGAGGGAGACAGACAGAGAGAACAGCGGGGGCAGGCGGGCAAAUGCAUCUGUGGUCUCGGGUAUUUCUGCCAGAACCAACACACUGCUGUUUGUAUGAAUGAUUUUAUUUUAUGUGACCGAUCUCUACAUGAUGGACAUAUGGUUAUUCCAGUGUUUUCUACUGACAGCCACUGCUGUGAUGAACAAGCAGGAGCCUAGGCUGUUUUGCUGCAGAUCCUGGAGAACUUGUGUCCAAGACUUUUUGUUGGGUUUUGUUUUUGUUUUUCUCUUUUAUCCAAGAGCAAGAUAAAAGAAUCUUUGGCCUGCAAAUGCC